UCAGAAUGGUGCUUGAGAAAGACUGACGAG
rnacentral:piRNA from 1 species